UCCGGCAGCUGUGCUCUCUCAGGGCUCUUGGUGGGGACGUGUGGCUUUUUUGAGUCUCUCUCACACAUGCAGGAGGAUUGGUCUCAGCAUGCACCUCGGGUAUCUCAUCCUCGCUGCUUUCCUGAGGCAACCACUAGGCACCAUGGGGCAGACCACCGUCACCCAGCAAGAAGGACAAGUCACAGUCAAGGAGAGAGACACCUUCCAGACCACCUGCACCUACCAGGUCACUAACUUUGAUGGAUUGCUCUGGUACCAGCAGAGGAAAGGCCAAGCCCCACAGCUUAUCUCAUAUCAGGCAGCAGCUGGCCCCAGGCGGAGUGGCCGUCUCACCACAUUGCUGAACACCACAGGGAAAAACAGCCUUCUCCAGCUGGAGGAAGUCGAGGUCUCUGACGCUGCCUUGUACCUCUGUGCUGUGCAAGACACGCUGGUGCAGGAAGUUUCCUUGGCUGUGCAAGAAGCCAGGGGAGAGAGGGCAUUGGUUUGUGUGAGGCUGAGCUUGGGGGAAGGGGCCCUCAGCUCUCCCCUGGCAGUGUUGCUUGCCCUGUACACCCAGAGCUCUGCAGGUCAAAAUCCUCUUCCAGGAGAGGACAGUGUCAGUGGCUUGAGAGGAAGAAGAAGGUGGUGAACGAGUCUCAGGUUCCCUCGUUUUCACCGUGGGUUAUGUGGUUAUCCUGCCCAUGGCUUUGGAGAAGUGAUGGGCAAUGUAGGAGGUUGGGACCGCUUCUGCAAUGGUUCCCUGCUGCUCUUAACUUUCUGGUUUUGUCUACUGCACAUUGCUUCUUCAGGUAUUCCUGCAAGCCUGUUCCUUAGAGUACCUGCUCCGGGAUGUGUCCCUCGGAGGUCAGAGUUCAAAGUAAGACGAAAAAUGUAAAUAACAUGCCACAGGACAACGCUCCUUCCAGGAAUUACAUGCUUACAACAAUUUUGGAAAAUACUCAGAACUACUCUGUGGCUCCUCCAGUUGCUGCAUGCCUAUGUGCUGUGAUCCAGAGGACCUGCUGUCCCCCAGUGCACUGUGCCGGUCCUUGGAGGCCUCCUCAUGCCCUGCCUCGUGGGCUUUCCCCAGCCCUGCCUCAUUUCUUCUGCAGUGGGACCAGGCUGUACAACUCUGUACCAGAGCACAAUGGGGGAAGAGACC